rnacentral:rRNA from 1 species
UUCGCAAUGCCCGAAAGGGUGACGAAGCGACGCCGCGUGAGUGAGGAAGGCCUUCGGGUUGUAAAGCCCUGUCAGGAGUUAAGAAAUGUAGAUACGCUAAUAUCGUGUCUAUUUGACAAAGGCUCCAAAGGAAGCCACGGCUAACUCUGUGCCAGCAGCCGCGGUAAUACAGAGGUGGCAAGCGUUGUUCGGAAUUAUUGGGCGUAAAGAGCACGUAGGUGGGUUUGUAAGCCAGAUGUGAAAGCCUUCUGUUCAACGGAAGAAUUGCAUCUGAAACUGCAAGUCUUGAGUGUAGGAGGGGAGAAUGGAACUUCUGGUGGAGCGGUGAAAUGCGUAGAUAUCAGAAGGAACGCCGGCGGCGAAAGCGAUUCUCUGGCCUAUUACUGACACUCAGUGUGCGAAAGCUAGGGGAGCAAACGGGAUUAGAUACCCCGGUAGUCCUAGCCGUAAACGAUGGGCACUAAGUAGAGGGGUUUU